rnacentral:rRNA from 1 species
UGGGGAAUAUUGCACAAUGGGGGAAACCCUGAUGCAGCAACGCCGCGUGAGCGAAGAAGGCCUUUGGGUCGUAAAGCUCUGUCCUCAGGGAAGAAGGAAGUGACGGUACCUGAGGAGGAAGCCCCGGCUAACUACGUGCCAGCAGCCGCGGUAAUACGUAGGGGGCAAGCGUUAUCCGGAAUUAUUGGGCGUAAAGGGUACGUAGGCGGCUUGGUAAGCGUGAGGUGAAAGGCAAUUGCUUAACGAUUGUAAGCCUUGCGAACUGUCAGGCUUGAGUGCAGGAGAGGAAAGCGGAAUUCCUAGUGUAGCGGUGAAAUGCGUAGAUAUUAGGAGGAACACCAGUGGCGAAGGCGGCUUUCUGGACUGUAACUGACGCUGAGGUACGAAAGCGUGGGGAGCAAACAGG